UAAUUUCUCAUCAGGGGAGGGGACGGGAGAUUUCGUUUCCAAGAUGACGGCGUCUUGUUCCACAGGAAGCCCACAUUGAUUGAGCUCGCCUUUCUGGUGGCUACUUCAGCAUGUCCCGCUUUCGACGAGUCGGGUUGUUUGGGAAUGCAGCCCAAAAUGGGUGGUAAACUCCAUCUAAAGCUAAAUAUUGGCACGAGACCGAUAGCGAACAAGUACCGUGAGGGAAAGAUGAAAAGCACUUUGAAAAGAGAGUUAAAAAGUACGUGAAACCGUUAAAAGGGAAACGAAUGGGGUUAGCAAUGCGUCGUGCGAGAUUCAGCCGGUGGGUGGGCCAGGCGGGCGGUUGGCGGAUCUGAAUGGACCGCUGCCGUUCGGGUUGGUUUCCCGACCGUCGCACUUCUCGCAGGCGCGCGCCAACGUCGGUUAGGGCUGGGUCUCAAAGGCGGUGGAAAGGUAGGUUUGGACUCUCGGGCCCGAACUGUUACCGUGUCGCGACAAUUCUAUCGCGUGCUCGGGAAGGCCAAAAGUGCUUGUGUCCUUGCUGUGUGCGGAUAGAUCGCGGAUAGAUCGCGGAGCCUCUCGGCAAAGCAAAUGACAUUUAUGUCAUUGAUGACACGUUGACCUCAGAUCA
rnacentral:ncRNA from 1 species